AAUAGAAAACAUUUGGGGAGUGGGAGUUCAGCUUGAUGGAGAUUUCUGCCAAAGAGAAGGAAAAAUAAAAGGUACUGCCUCCCACCAAUGAGCAGGAGAAGAUUUAGAUUCAUGACAUUCAAAGUCAGGUGAAGCCUGUAGGGCUGGUGGGGCAUUAGCUAGAGAAGUCUGAUAAAGGUUUUCCAUUGUUAGAAAUAGAGCAAGGGAAAGAUAUCCCAAGAGUGAUUUCCUUGAACACUACUACAUCUUUUGGACUGGCCCUAGUGAUUGCAGGGAAGUGUUGCCCUCCACCAGUGUUACAAAGGCAAUCAAUCCUUCUGCAUAGGCACAACAUGGAUGGUUUUCAUGGGCUUGGUGAGUGGCAGCACAAAGCAAAAGCCUCCUUCUUCAGAGGAGAUGCAAACCACAGUCCAUGGCCAGUAAGCAGUAAUUGAAACUGUCUUUCUGAAAGUUGGCGGGUGAUGAAACCCAGUGUGGAUGGCUGUGUUCUGCCUCUCGAAUCCCCUCCCACUACCCUGCAAUAUACUGAGUUUUGCUGGGGGUGGGGGGUUUAGCUUCUCUGGCACAAGGGUUUCCUUUGUUGAUAGGAGCUGGGUCUCCUCUAGGGGACUGGGCCAAUCCAGCUGUACUGGCAAAGCCUUUGUAAUGUGGAGCAGCUCAAGUGCAGACCUGUAAUGGGCGCCUGCCUGAACCUUUGCUGGCACAUCAAUAGGGCCAGAGCUGAGCAAAGUUAAACGACCCCGUGCUGGAGAAGUGCCACACGUAGGAGCCGGCAAGCAUCUGUGUUACUGAUCCAGUGCGGCGCUUGAAACAUCUUUGGACUUCCUUUCAAGUGAGGACUACCUAAUUCAGUAGUUGCGUGUGCAGUGAGUAGCUGGAAGAGCCAGUCCUUGGCUGGAGGUGUCGGAGGUGCAACCGUGGUUUCACAUCAAGUACAGCCAUGCUUGCCCAGUUACGGCGGCAUCUUUCUGGCACAAACUGAAGCCCAGGAAGCACUCCCUGCCCAUCAGGCAGCACUGCUGUGCUGUGUGGAUGCACAGGUUGCCCAG
rnacentral:lncRNA from 1 species